AUUGAACGCUGGCGGCAGGCCUAACACAUGCAAGUCGAGCGGAUGAAGGGAGCUUGCUCCUGGAUUCAGCGGCGGACGGGUGAGUAAUGCCUAGGAAUCUGCCUGGUAGUGGGGGAUAACGUCCGGAAACGGGCGCUAAUACCGCAUACGUCCUGAGGGAGAAAGUGGGGGAUCUUCGGACCUCACGCUCUCAGAUGAGCCUAGGUCGGAUUAGCUAGUUGGUGGGGUAAAGGCCUACCAAGGCGACGAUCCGUAACUGGUCUGAGAGGAUGAUCAGUCACACUGGAACUGAGACACGGUCCAGAGUCAUACGGGAGGCAGCAGUGGGGAAUAUUGGACAAUGGGCGAAAGCCUGAUCCAGCCAUGCCGCGUGUGUGAAGAAGGUCUUCGGAUUGUAAAGCACUUUAAGUUGGGAGGAAGGGCAGUAAGUUAAUACCUUGCUGUUUUGACGUUAACAACAGAAUAAGCACCGGCUAACUUCGUG
rnacentral:rRNA from 1 species